rnacentral:rRNA from 1 species
AUUGAAAGCUAGCGGCAGGCCUAACACAUGCAAGUCGAGAGACCGGCGGACGGGUGAGUCAUGUCGAGGAACCUUACUGCUGGAGGGGGAUACCUACGUGAAACGGUAGCUAAUACAGCAUACAAUCAGAUGUGCCUAGAUGGGAUUAUCUAGUAGGGGGGGUAACGGCUAACCUAGGCGACGAUCCCUAGCUGGUCUGAGAGGAUGACAAGCCCAACUGGAACUGAGACACGGUCCAGACUCCUACGGGAGGCAGCAGUGGGGAAUAUUGCACAAUGGGGGCAAGCCUGGUGCAGCCAGGCAGCGUGUGUGAAGAAGGCUGUCGGGUAGUAAAGCACUAGCGGCGGGGAGGCGUUACCCGCAGAAGAAGCACCGGCUAACUCCGGGACAGCAGCCGCGGUAAUUC